UGCAAGUCGAGCGAACAGACGAGGAGCUUGCUCCUCUGACGUUAGCGGCGGACGGGUGAGUAACACGUGGAUAACCUACCUAUAAGACUGGGAUAACUUCGGGAAACCGGAGCUAAUACCGGAUAAUAUAUUGAACCGCAUGGUUCAAUAGUGAAAGACGGUUUUGCUGUCACUUAUAGAUGGAUCCGCGCCGCAUUAGCUAGUUGGUAAGGUAACGGCUUACCAAGGCAACGAUGCGUAGCCGACCUGAGAGGGUGAUCGGCCACACUGGAACUGAGACACGGUCCAGACUCCUACGGGAGGCAGCAGUAGGGAAUCUUCCGCAAUGGGCGAAAGCCUGACGGAGCAACGCCGCGUGAGUGAUGAAGGUCUUCGGAUCGUAAAACUCUGUUAUUAGGGAAGAACAAAUGUGUAAGUAACUAUGCACGUCUUGACGGUACCUAAUCAGAAAGCCACGGCUAACUACGUGCCAGCAGCCGCGGUAAUACGUAGGUGGCAAGCGUUAUCCGGAAUUAUUGGGCGUAAAGCGCGCGUAGGCGGUUUUUUAAGUCUGAUGUGAAAGCCCACGGCUCAACCGUGGAGGGUCAUUGGAAACUGGAAAACUUGAGUGCAGAAGAGGAAAGUGGAAUUCCAUGUGUAGCGGUGAAAUGCGCAGAGAUAUGGAGGAACACCAGUGGCGAAGGCGACUUUCUGGUCUGUAACUGACGCUGAUGUGCGAAAGCGUGGGGAUCAAACAGGAUUAGAUACCCUGGUAGUCCACGCCGUAAACGAUGAGUGCUAAGUGUUAGGGGGUUUCCGCCCCUUAGUGCUGCAGCUAACGCAUUAAGCACUCCGCCUGGGGAGUACGACCGCAAGGUUGAAACUCAAAGGAAUUGACGGGGACCCGCACAAGCGGUGGAGCAUGUGGUUUAAUUCGAAGCAACGCGAAGAACCUUACCAAAUCUUGACAUCCUCUGACCCCUCUAGAGAUAGAGUUUUCCCCUUCGGGGGACAGAGUGACAGGUGGUGCAUGGUUGUCGUCAGCUCGUGUCGUGARAUGUUGGGUUAAGUCCCGCAACGAGCGCAACCUUAAGCUUAGUUGCCAUCAUUAAGUUGGGCACUCUAAGUUGACUGCCGUGACAACCGGAGGAAGG
rnacentral:rRNA from 1 species